GAGACACUCCUAUGCAGUAGGACUUGCUUCAGUGGGGCUUUGGUGCCCACUGAGUCUGUUCCUUGAGUGUGUCACU
rnacentral:pre_miRNA from 1 species